rnacentral:rRNA from 1 species
GCUUAAGAAUUAUUUAUUUUAAGUGUGACCUGCUCAAUGAAUAGUAAUUAAAUAGCUGCAGUAAUUUGACUGUACAAAGGUAGCAUAAUAAUUUGCCUUUUAAUUGAAGGCUGGAAUGAAGGGUUAAACAUAAAGAAUACUGUCUUAAUUUUUAUUUUAGAAUUUAAUUUUUUUGUUAAAAAUCAAAAAUUAUAUAAAGGGACGAAAAGACCCUAUCAAGUUUUAAAUAAAAUUGGAUUAUUUAAUUAAAAUUUAAUUUUAUUUUUUUCUGGGGCGGAGUAGAAAUAAAUACCUUUCUGAAUAUUUAAUAAUUUAAUGAUUUAUAUUUUUAAAUUUAUUAAAGAAAUGUAAAAUUCACUGUAGGGGUACCAGCGUAAUUAUUAUUUUAAGUACAAAUUGAAGUAAUAGUUUACGACCUCGAUGUUGGGUUAUUUUUUCCUUUUGAUGAAGAGGUCUAAAGGGUAUCCUGCUGGUCCACGAACAAAAAGUUACA